UACGAAGGGGGCUAGCGUUGCUCGGAAUUACUGGGCGUAAAGCGCACGUAGGCGGCUUUCUAAGUCGGGGGUGAAAUCCUGGAGCUCAACUCCAGAACUGCCUUCGAUACUGGAGAGCUCGAGUCCGGGAGAGGUGAGUGGAACUGCGAGUGUAGAGGUGAAAUUCGUAGAUAUUCGCAAGAACACCAGUGGCGAAAGGCGGCUCACUGGCC
rnacentral:rRNA from 1 species